rnacentral:rRNA from 1 species
CCUACGGGAGGCAGCAGUGGGGAAUUUUGGACAAUGGGCGCAAGCCUGAUCCAGCCAUGCCGCGUGCAGGAUGAAGGCCUUCGGGUUGUAAACUGCUUUUGUACGGAACGAAAGGUUCUGCCCUAAUACGGUGGGAAUAUGACGGUACCGUAAGAAUAAGCACCGGCUAACUACGUGCCAGCAGCCGCGGUAAUACGUAGGGUGCGAGCGUUAAUCGGAAUUACUGGGCGUAAAGCGUGCGCAGGCGGUUAUGUAAGACAGAUGUGAAAUCCCCGGGCUCAACCUGGGAACUGCAUUAGUGACUGCAUAGCUGGAGUACGGCAGAGGGGGAUGGAAUUCCGCGUGUAGCAGUGAAAUGCGUAGAUAUGCGGAGGAACACCGAUGGCGAAGGCAAUCCCCUGGGCCUGUACUGACGCUCAUGCACGAAAGCGUGGGGAGCAAACAGGAUUAGAUACCCUGGUAGUCCACGCCCUAAACGAUGUCAACUGGUUGUUGGGUCUUCACUGACUCAGUAACGAAGCUAACGCGUGAAGUUGACCGCCUGGGGAGUACGGCCGCAAGGUUGAAACUCAAAUGAAUUGACGG